AGUGCGACUGCUGGGUUGUAUGGUAAGAUUAUGUUUAGAUUUUUAAGAAACUGCCAAACUGUCUUCCAAAGUGCUGUACCAUUUUGCAUUCCCACCAGCAGU
rnacentral:pre_miRNA from 1 species